AAAUAUAAGAAAAUCCACGCGUUUAGUGGUAUGGUACAAAGCGCUGCGUAAAAAAGCGGUCGAAUCCGAUAUUUUGAAUUUUUGUAUGGGAAUUCACAUUCAAACGUGGAUAUCUCCGCUGUUUUUAAAGAAUAAGAGCCAGAUUUUGCUAGGUU